rnacentral:tRNA from 1 species
UUGGGGAUUUGUCUUAGUGGUAGAGCAUUUGCCUGAAAUGUGUGAGGUUCUGGGCUCAAUCCCCAGCAUCAAA